GCCGACCAACACGGGAGUCCCGGGUACGGGGACUGAGAGUGAGCCGCCGGCUCUUACCGUCACACCUGAUCCGGGUCAUGCCGGCGAAGGGAGCGAAAGUACAUGCCCA
rnacentral:ncRNA from 1 species